AAAGGAACAAAUUACUUUUUGGAAAGAGAAGGAAAGCGAACAAAGAAGACUAGACAACACUUGGAGACAUGGAAACUUUGCUGAUAGUCAAAUAGCUCCAUUAGCUUAAUAUGAUAUUCCCUUUCAUAUUUUAUACUCAAAGCAGGAAGAAGAAACCAUUGGCCUUCCUGCUGUUAAAGAAUUAUAACUCUCUGUAUCCUUAAGCAUUGGUCAAAUUGAUUCCUGAAAGCCCCAGCCUGGAAAGAGGAAAGAAUUCUGAAUGCAUUGUGCUGCAGAAGAAGAUUCUUUUUGAGAGAUUCCAGAUGAUAAAAGAAAAGAAGAUAUUUGUACUGAUGGUAACUUUCAAUCUACAAGGAAGCAUACUUGAUUUCCUUAUAAAGGGGACCAGAAGCAUGGCAAAAGAGUUCUUGGGAGCCCUCAAUAUUCCAUACAUUUGAUUAAGAUGUUAUUGGCUGAUCAUUCCCUGCAAUAUAAAGCUAUAUUUCUUGCUUACUUUCAAAUCAACGCUACAGGACAAUUAUCCACCUAACACAUGUAGAUUUUGUCAUGGCCAUUCAUUGUUCAUAAUAGCUUGCUUCCAAUCAGCUCAGAAUCAGUCAUUUCCUCCUGCCAGUGAAGAUUUUUAGUUGUUUUUUUUUCAGAUAACUUUUAAUUCCUAGUAACACAAGCAUGUUCAUUAGUUUUUUUUCCAAUGACAAUUUAUUUCUGGAGAAACCAUCAUAUUACGAAGAGGGUGCAGAUAAUUUGUACUUACUUUUGCUAUAUGGGGCCUUCCAAGCUUUUUAUGAUUCAAUUAAAUUCCAAAGGAGGGUUUAUGAGUUCCUCCCCCUACCCUUCUUGCUCCAUUUGUUAAGAACAUGUCCUCAUGGUGGAACCUCCAUCAAAGAAAGAGACUGAAGUCAAUCAAGGACAAAACUAGUGUUUUUCAUUGGAAAGAAGGAAUAUGCCUUCCCCUGUAUGAUCAUUCUAUGUCGUAUGGAAGAGGGCAAGAAGCAAUAUUGCCAUUUGUAGUGUUUCAGCUGAUCCACUGCGAAACCACACUCUCCCAUCUGACUAUGUGACACUAUGCCACAAUGAUUAUUUCUAUUUUGUCUGGUGGAGGAACAGAACCUCACUUAGCAACCAAGGUUGUUGUUAUUUUUUUGUCGGGACACUAUCAACUUUGUGGAACAUUUUCCUGGAAAUUGAUAUUUCCAUUAGUAUGUGUGUGCGUACAUGUGGAUAUGUGGAAAUAUGCCACAAAAGAAAUUCUAGAGAAAUUCUGCAAAUAAGGGAAUUAGGGAAAAAAACUCAUCACUUAUCCCAGUGUUAAUUAUUUUCACUGGUUUCAUAUCACAGAAGAAAUGGUUAUGUUGCACCAUAAUUCUCAUAAUGUAUACAAUAUUUACAUACAACAAACACAAUGAUACAAUUAACAUGUUUAGUCUUCAUUUUCAAAAUCAGAGCUGCAAUUAAAGAAGUGUUUAAAAAAGACUUUUCUGCUGUAUAUUU